rnacentral:rRNA from 1 species
AAAAACAUCGCCUCCUGCAAAACCCACCAACGUACAGGAGGUCCUGCCUGCCCAGUGACAACUAGUUAAACGGCCGCGGUAUUUUGACCGUGCUAAGGUAGCGCAAUCACUUGUCCUUUAAAUGAGGACCUGUAUGAAUGGCGGAACGAGGGCUUAACUGUCUCCUUUUUCCAGUCAAUGAAAUUGAUCUGCCCGUGCAGAAGCGGACAUACCAAUACAAGACGAGAAGACCCUUUGGAGCUUAAGACACCGAGCCAACUAUGUCAAAGGCCCAAAUUAAACUUCAAGCCAAACAAACAGCUAACUGGCCACUGUCUUCGGUUGGGGCGACCACGGGGGAAAACAAAGCCCCCACGUAGAAUGGGAACCACACCCUAAAACCAAGAGGGACACCUCUAAGCCACAGAACAUCUGACUAAGUAGAUCCGGCUAAUUAAGCCGAUCAACGGACCAAGUUACCCUAGGGAUAACAGCGCAAUCCUUUCCAAGAGUUCAUAUCGACGAGAGGGUUUACGACCUCGAUGUUGGAUCAGGACAUCCUAAUGGUGCAGCCGCUAUUAAGGGUUCGUUUGUUCAACGAUUAAAGUCCUACGUGAUCUGAG